rfam:Gossypium raimondii chromosome 10, whole genome shotgun sequence.
UGUUAAAUUUUUUUAUCAAGUUCUACUAUUAAAAACUAGUAUGACUAAUAGAAUAACCAGAUCGUUACAUGUGGCAUACCACGUGUACAUCAUUUUAAUGUACAAGGACCAGCUUUUAACAAUAGAAAUGGAUGAAAUCUUUAACA